rnacentral:rRNA from 1 species
AGUGAACGCUGGCGGUAGGCCUAACACAUGCAAGUCGAACGGCAGCACAGUAAGAGUUUGCUCUUACGGGUGGCGAGUGGCGGACGGGUGAGGCAUGUAUCGGAAUCUUCUUUUUCGUGGGGGAUAACGUAGGGAAAGUUACGCUAAUACCGCAUAUGAUCUACGGGUGAAAGCAGGGGAUCUUCGCACCUUGCGCGAUUGAAUUAGCCGAUGUCGGAGUAGCUAGUUGGCGGGGUAAAGGCCCACCAAGGCGACGAUCCGUAGCUGGACUGAGAGGAUGGUCGGCCACACUGGAACUGAGACACGGUCCAGACUCCUACGGGAGGCAGCAGUGGGGAAUAUUGGGCAAUGGGCGCAAGCCUGACCCAGCCAUACCGCGUGAGUGAAGAAGGCCUUCGGGUUGUAAAGCCCUUUUGUUGGGAAAGAAAAGCAGUAGGUUAAUACGCCGCUGUUCUGACGGUACCCAAUGAAUAAGCACCGGCUAACUACGUG